GAUUAACGCUGGCGGCGUGCCUAAUACAUGCAAGUCGAACGAUGAAAUUUAAAUGUUUUCUUUUGAACGAACUCAAGUGGAUUAGUGGCGGACGGGUGAUUAACUCGUUAGUAACCUGCCUUACCCACGGGGAUAGCCGUUUGAAACGACGAAUAAUACCCUAUGAUGUUUUUCUCUCGUAUGAGAUAUUAAUCAAAGUGUUAGUGGUGUAAUAUGGACUUGCUUGUGAUUAGCUAGUUGGAGAGAAAUAAGCCCACCAAGGCAGCGAUCAGAAGCCGGCUCGGGAGAGUGGACGGCCACAUUGGGACUGGGACAAGGCCCGAACUCCUACGGGAGGCAGAAGGGGGGAAUGUUGCACACUGGGGGAAAGCCUAAGGCAGCGACGCCGCGUAAUUCAGAAGGCCUUCGGGUUGUAAAGAGCUUUUGUAUGGGAAGAAAAUGACGGUACUAAACGAAUAAGGUCCGGCUAAUUACGUG
rnacentral:rRNA from 1 species